GAAUAAACAAGGGAGAAAUAAAGUGCUAGUAUGAAUGCAACACUGCGUGAGUACAAUCAAUAUUCAUCAAAUAGAAAAAGCAAAAAAUCAAUAAGGUAAAAACUGAACAGUAAAAGAAAAAGAAAUCUUCUCUUUCAGUAAACAGGCACAACUGAUCUCCACUGCCAGAGACCAUGGAUUCUUUCUCAUUCUGUGAAUACUUUCAGCUAAUGGAUCCACAUACACAGCAGGGAGAGGCUGCAGGGACAAUCAUUUCAGAGUUGUUAGUAAAUAGCUUGGUGCCAUGGUACAGAUGAGAUGAAACGAGAUGCUGCAGCUAUGUGGUUAAGGAAAUGUGCAAUAUAUCCAGCAAUGUCAUGUGUGUCCUUGCUCUCUGUGAGUUCUUGUUAUGAGUGUUAGCUUCCCUUUACCUAAC
rnacentral:lncRNA from 12 species